GUGCUUGCUUCAGCAGCACAUGCACUAAAAUUGGAAUGAUAGAAGAUUUGCAUGGCCCCUGCACAAGGAUGACACACAAAUUCAUGAAGCCUUCCAUAUUUUA